CUGUUGCCUCUCUCCACUCUGCAGUAACCAGACUUUUGGUUUGGGUGCCAUUUAGGGUUGCCAGCUCCCCUUGUCGACCAGACUUUCUGGUUGAAAACCAGGCACUGGCAACCCUAAAUGGCACCUGGACACAGAAACCAAAAACCAGACUGUCCAAGUAGGGUUGCCACCCAUCCAGUUUCUAACUUAAUUAUGAUUUCAAGGGAAUAACUUCAAUGAGCAGUGUGUCCUGUACUUAGCUCCAUGGGUUCCUGUAUAUUCCAGUUGCACAGGCAGGUUUUCUUUAAACCAGUGCAAGACAAUUUGCAGAAAAGAGACUAUUUUUGAUCUUUUUCUACUGCCUGACAAACACUAGGAAAGCCUAAAAUGUACAGCUGGCAGUAAGACCCUUUUUAUCUUGGUAGAAAUGUGAGCAUUUUCCCUAGAAAAUAGAACCUUAGCUGGUCAACUGUUCCUGCUGCUUAUUCCCAUCCUGCCUAAAAUCCUAAUCCAUUGCCUGUGAUGUCACAGUUGUAAAUGGUGAAGAUUGUCACACUAAGGACUGGAGCUUCAGUUGGGAAAUAAAGAACAGGAGCAGAUGAAUUUCUGUGUGAAUUGUCUAAUGCGAAAAAUUCCCAUUGACUUCAGUGUUAAACAUAUGCAUAGGUGUUUGCAGGAUUUAGGGCCAUAGUGUUCAGAGAGAGAGUCAUAGUGGAAAGGGACUAGUUGGUGAAGGAGCUGUACCAAAAAAUAACAACUCCUCCUCCCUCCUCCCCCCCCCCAAAAACCCACACAUACCACAGAAAGGCCUUAUUCAACAGUUUUGUUUCUUUAGCAUUUCACACACACACACACACUAUCAGAAACAUUAACUUGGUGAAGUUUAUUGUUACUUAGGUUUUGACACAUACUUAGAAAAGCAAGAUGUUCAUUUAAUAAUAUUAUCCCAAACUGUGCAAGUUUCCAGCAGGCUGUGUAGAAAAUGUGCAUGACCCAGUACCGUGUGGAAAUAAUGGUUUUCAAAAGGAACAUUUCUCUAAUUGCAAAGGAAAUUAGGCAAGCAGUUUAUUUAGGAGAAGCAGAAGCAAAAGGAAAGCUGUUAGCUUUUUUCCUCCCUUUUUCUCCAGAGGGGCUGUGGUGAUCCUGCAAAACUUGACAAGCAGGGUGUAGCAAGUCCUUCUCUAUUUUCUGGAAAUCCCACCCUCCUUCCACAGCUUAUCUUGAGUUUCUAUUUUGCUGGUUGAUAGUUGUGCAGACGUUUUUUCCCAGCAACCCCUUAUGUACUGUAUUGCAAGUCAGCACGUUCACCAAAUCCAGCGAGCAGUUCCUUUUCUUUCGGCCUGAUUCACUUACACUAGUGUAGCUUUACUGACUUCUGGUUACUCCUGAGUUAUGCUGGAAUAAUUGAGAGGUAAAUCAGCCCCCUUAGAUUUGAGUUUCAGGGUGGAGCCAAUGUGUCAAAUAUAAUGUAUUGCCUUAAAAAUGUGUUUUGCACCCGUCAUGCAUCCACAACUGAACCAAAGUGGGUCUUCAACACCAUGAGGUACUUAAAGGAACUUUUUCUUGCUUUUUAUAUACCCAUCAUGUUACAGGCACUUGGAAGCUUGAAUGUGACCAAGGAGUGAUAUAGAGGAUCAUGCUAAUAAAGACAAGUGACCAAAUUCAUCCCUGAUGUAAACUAGCAAGGAUUCUAGAGUUACAACUUUUCCUGAAGUGCACUGGUUUUGCCUUUGGCUAAUUCUGUGGUAAUAAUCCCUUUAUGGCGAAGGAGUAAUUUUCUUCUUCACCACUGCUGAAUCUGAUGCGUUAAUUUUUCCACCCAAUUUUCCACCACUCUUCAUUUUCCUUCUGGUCUGCCAAUCACUUCCAGUACGUUUCCUCCUAUCUUAAAUGACUGAAUUAUUGCUGAACCACAAAGAACCAGUCUAUAAAACUCAAACAGAUACUUAGUCUCCUUACUGUGGUUUGGGGAUGGGAAUCAAAGUAAAGAUCCUUUAUUGAAAAGACUUUUGUCUUCGUUAAUACUUGUCUUCAGCUGUCCUCAUAAAAUCCAAGUGUUUCCCCCACGCACAUUUCUAGAAUAUAAGCCAGGAUCAAUAAUCCAUCCAAAGGACUUCAGUGCAGUGUAAUUGUGACUAGAUCAAGCAAACAGUAGCUGUUAUACUUAAAUUGCCUAAGCCUUGUCACAUACUUUAUACUGGUGACUUCAAUGGAUUUAUUCCUGAUAGGCACCAGAAUAAGUGAGAUCAGGAUUAGUCUAAUCUUUUUAUUUAUUUUCACAUCAGUAUCUCUGCCUACAUUUUACAUUUACAAAAAGAGAGCAAGACAGAUGUUCCCAAAGCAGAAGUAAUAUUUCUUCUUUGUACCAAUUUUAAUGGGUCCAAAAACCACAUACGUGUGUCACUGAACUUUCACAUGUGUUACAUAAGUCUCUGUAGACUAUGCAAAUAACAUACUAUUUAUAUGUGUUGGUUGUCUAUUCAUAUGAAUUUUGUUUUCUCUGGUCAAGUCACUAGUGUUAUGAAACUAUGUUUUAAAGUAGGACUUUUGCACUGGGGAAAUCUUUCAAAUAUGUCAUGUUAAAUUAGCAGAAAAGGAAAAUUAUAUUUAAUUAUUCCCAUUUAACUACUGUAAGUGUGUGUUUCAGUCAAUGAUUUGUUCCUUCUGCUCUUUUUAUUGUCAAGCAGUUAUGUAAAAUGCUGGAGCGUGACACCACAAUAGUUUCCAUAUCCGCACACUGGAAACGCCAUCAGCCAAUCAGAUGCCUCCCUUUAGAAGUAACUUUUAUAUAUUAUACAUCAAGAUGAGACCAAGCCACACAGUUUGGUUCCAGAUCUGAACUUACCCAAUAUCUAAGGGCUCUCUGGAUAUGAGCUUCAGUUCAUAGAGUGCAUGAAGCCUGCAGCAUGUUUGAUCUAUUUCAACACAAAGAGUAAUAUUAUUCACUGUAAACUAAAAACUUCAGUCCCAAACUCUUUUUCACCAGGUGCCCCACUGUUGCAAAGAAGCAGACCUUUACAAUGUCGUGUCCCCUGGAAUUCUCUGUGCUGGCUGCCCAGCUCUCUCUCUGAAGUACCAGAGCAGUAACAGCUUGAAACAAGGAUGAAGAGCCAGCACCAUGAGCCCAGCCUGCUCUCCACAGAGCCACCAGCAGGUGCCCAAGAGUCUGGGAAUUGCUGGUAUAUCAGAAUUCUAAUGUUCUGGCUGCAGCUCAAUAGGAAACUAGAUUUGUAGUCAUUGCAAUUUACAGCUCCAGUAGCACAGCUGACAAGGUCGCAUCUGUGUGGGAGGGGUUUUAAAUCAUGUGGAAACGGUGCUCCCCUCGUG